GUGAUACAUUUUCAGCGACACGGAACCGCCACCAGUCGAGGCGCUGCAAAGUCCUAGGAUUCGCGCACAAGGAAUUUUGGCGUAAGGAGCGGAGGAGUACACGUCAUGCAACAUCUCACGUGGCUUUCAAAUGCCUUGGAAGGAAAUCUUGAGUGGGCAGGAGGAUUUCUGGAGUCAUGCCUCGGAACAUAGUGAAAGAAGUCCUGAACGACGAAUUUGAAG